GUUUGAGAUCCUGCUCCGCCCGGUCAGCCUCGUAGUGGUCCUCACGGCGGAGAGGGCAGUGGGAGGGAGGUCGGGACUUCUUGCCUGGGCCCGCUAGGCCCUCCCGCCUCAGAGCUCCAGAGCCCUCUCCACGGCCGCCCACUGGCUGGGCCCAGGUCUUGAAGCAGCAGCGAAGUUCUCCUCCCUCCCCACCUCCGUGACCUAAUGGCGGCGACCGUCUCCACGGCUCGCAGUUCAUGGAGGCCUCAGCAACUGGAGUAUAUGGACACUGCCAUUAAGGGUAACCAAAUAGUUGAUGAGGAGAAGUUUCUUUCUGUAGAAGCAUUCAGCUAGCAAAUAAGGAAGGAAUGAUAGAGUAUCAUCAUUUUGCAGCCCCUGAUGAAUGAAUGGAUCUCGACAAUGCUCACCAUUGGCAUUAUGAAAAGACAUGCUCCUGAAUAAAAAGGAACCUGAAUCUGA